rfam:Yersinia ruckeri strain 37551 YRO1b0000020, whole genome shotgun sequence.
AGGGAGGCUAAGUUGUUACGUAAUAACUAAAACAAUGAAAAUUCCUCUUUGACUGGCCAAUAGAGAUAUUGGCCAUUUUUUU